ensembl:lncRNA
AAAUGAAUCAACACCACCCGACCAAUCAGAAUCCAGAACUGGACGCCCGACAGCGCUGCGGUGGAAAAUGUAUACCCAAGCGUAUUUGUCUCACUGAGAAAGUGUGACAGAAGAACGAGUUACUCACCGUGUCUCACUGAUCAUGACAUUAAAUAACACUCCUGCUAAUUACAGUGUGUGUAGGUGCGUCAAUAUGAUACCCUGCUGCUAACUCUCUCUCUCUCUCACACACACACACACACACACACCUAGAGACAGAGUACAGAGCGUGAUUGAUGCUCUACAUAAAACAUGUAAAGCUAACAUCUUUAGCGCUACAUUGUUUUUCCUCUUAGCUUCAGCUCACUGGUGUUAAACUCAUCCGCUAGCAACAUCCCCUACUGAUUUACACAUAUAUAAUAAUUAGCCUAAUGUUUGCUAGCUUGCUAACAAAACUGCACGAUUUAAAAAUAUAGAGAUUGAGAGAGAGUCAGUGUGAUUAACCUAUCCUUGUCUUUAGUUACAAAAUGGUUAGCCAAGUGAUAGCUAGCUUGCUAGUUAAACCGCAUACUUGUUUCAACAAAUACUGUAUAGCCAGUGAGAAUAAUCUAUCCUCUGCUUUUACUCACAAAAUCCUUAGUCUAAUGUUAGUGAUCUUACUAGCUAGCUAAUUAAACUAGUCCUAGCUAGCUUAAUACAUACUUGUGCUACUGGUGUUUAUUAUACAGUGUAAUAGUUAACCUAGUAUUAGCAAGGUAGUGAGAUUCACCUCUAGAAUGUUACGAAUGUUAGCUAGCUCAUUAGCUACUUGUGCUACUGCUUAACAUGAGGUAAUAGUCAAUCUAAUGUUAGCUAGCUCAUUAGCUACUUGUGCUACUGCUUAACAUAAGGUAAUAGUCAAUCUAAUGUUAGCUAGCUCAUUAGCUACCUGUGCUCCUGCUUAACAUGAGGUAAUAGUCAAUCUAAUGUUAGCUAGCUCAUUAGCUACCUGUGCUCCUGCUUAACAUGAGGUAAUAGUCAGUCUAAUGUUAGCUAGCUCAUUAGCUACCUGUGCUCUUGCUUAACAUGAGGUAAUAGUCAAUCUAAUGUUAGCUAGUUCAUUAGCUACCUGUUUUCCUGCUUAACAUGAGGUAAUAGUCAAUCUAAUGUUAGCUAGUUCAUUAGCUACCUGUGCUGUGGGUUUUCUUAAUAUAAGAGUUAACAUAGCUUACUAGUCUCCUGUGCCACUGCUAAUGUUUAACCUAUUGUUAGCUAGCUUACUAGCUACCUGUGCUGCUGCUUUACACAAGUAGGACAGGUAGCUAGUUAACCAAAGUUAAUCUAGUGUUAACUAGCUGACUAUCAAUGCUGUGGAUUUACUCAAUAUAAUGUUUAACCUAAUAUUAGCUAGCUUACUAGCCACCUAUGCUACUGGUGUACCAAUGUAAUAGUUAGCCUAGUGCUAGCUAGCUUACUAGUCCUUGGUUUUAAGUAAUGCUCUGCUAGCAAUAGAUAGCAGUUUGAGCAGGUCAAAUAAAUACUGCUGGAGAUGGAAAAGUAGCUAAGCUAAGACUACAUAGCUGGCAACAUUAGCAUAAUGCGAUGUUUUUGUAGCUGGCUAGCUUAGCUAAUAUUGCUAAAUAGGCACUUGUUUUGGUCUUUAUUUAUUAUUUCUGUAACGCCAACUGUGUUUUCUCAGCAGACUGUUUAUUUAUUUAUUUUUCAUUUUAUUUCACCAGCCAUGUUCAUCAGCAAAGCAUAGACUGUAAACAAAGAUUCACGUCACUUUUCAGUCUGAUUAUUACCAGAUUAUUAUUAUUAUCCUGCUAAUUUGUGGUAAGCUCGCCUAAGUGAAAGUAAACUAGCGAGUGAAAGCAAGCCAGCAAGUUGAAGACGACUAAUAAAUGAAGGCAAGCUAGCAAGUAAACCUUGAGUGAAAGCAAACUAGCGGGUCGAAAAUAAACUAGUGAGUGAAAAACGUUAGCAACUAAAAUCAAUCGAGCGAGUAAAAUCAACCUACUGAGUGAAGGUAAACUAACAAAUAAUAGCAAGCUAGCAAGUCAAAACAUCCUAAUCGGUGAAAGCGAACAAACACAAAAACUGGCGAGUAAAAGGAACUAGUGAGUGAAAGCAAAGUAGCAACUAGCAAGCGAAAGCAAAUCAGUAAACUAUUAACAGCAAACUCGUGAGCAAAAGCAAACUAGCGAGUGAAAUUAAACUAGCAAAUAAAUGCAAAUUAGUGAGUGAAAGGCAAAACUAGCAAGUCGAAGCAAACUAGCGAGUGAAACUGAGUAGCGAGUGAAGCGCAAACUAGCGACUGAAAGCGGGACUACCGAGUGAGAGUAUAUAACCAUCCUCAUUCUUGCAUGGCUUUUUAGAAUAUUAAGCCACGCCCAUUUGCAGAGUUGGUGGGUGUGAUCAGUGAGGGGUGUACAGUAGGUGCGGCGCAGCGUGCAGUGAGACAGCAAAAUAAAAUACCGUAUUAGAUCUGAUCGUGGCGUUAGCUAUACAGUGUUGUGACAUCACUCCGACGUCUUUCAUCCUCCACGCUGUGUUUAUUCUCGUUUAUUUCCGUGUGAAGUUUGAUUUUAUCGCAGCGUUCGAGUGUUGGAGCUGUACACUGGAUAAUCAGCUUAGUUACUGAUCACUGGCUCUUUAUUCAUUCCUCUGGUGACGCCUCUGUUCCUCCGCACUGACACACACACACACUCUCUCUCUUUCAGUGUGUGUUUAAUUGGUCAUUCUCUGUGUGUGUGUGUGUGUGUGUGUACAUUUGUAUGCAGACACGUCUGUUUCUUUAAAGCAUAUGCCUUUAAGGCAGCGCAAGGUUAUUCUCUAAUCUUUUAGUCACAGAUCUCGCUCUAUCUCUG